UAAGUCUCAAACAAGCACUUAAUCACUCUCAAGCAAUUACCUAAAUCCAACCAUCGAAUCAGCAAUUGAACAAUCGAUUUUCAGUGGUUUUCCAGCGAUGGCGACGACGCCGGUCCAGUGAUUACAUAGUGGAGAUGAUCAAUGAUGGGAUGCAAAAGUACAAUCUGCAAUUUCAUGGACCUGCUGAAAUAAGUUAUUAUCAUUUAGAUGAAAUUCAUGGUUGAUAUAGAACUUUGGAUCCCAUAUGCUUUCUAUCCAUAUGCUGUUGUUGAGGAAGAUUCAGGCGCUGGUGCUAGAGUCAAGCCACUCACGAUAGCCAUUCGACUGAAAUCAGCCGUUGAAAUCGGCCAUGUGGUGUAUAUCUUCUCUUCCACAUUGAAGAUUUCUCACCGGAUUUUCAACCGACAACUGUCAGUUUCAAUCUCUGCAUCCAUCAUUCAUUCAUUUAAGGCAUCCUUUGUUGGAGCCAUGGCAAUAACUGACUUAGUCAAAACAACCCUAGGGCCAAAAGGAAUGGGCGUUAGAGGUUGUGUGUCGGGCUCCAAAGAAGAUAACCUAACCUAUGUGCAGCUGAGCGGACUUACUCUAUAAGUUGUAACAAGGUUGGAAAGCAACAAAAAAACAAUAAAUUUCACGUCCGCUUAAAAUGUUUGUACCAUGGCUCGCAAUUUGAGGGCGUCGCUAAUUUCACAAUUACAUGGUACAUGCAUACAGCUUCCUACAGAUACAAAGAUACCUUCAUCUGCCUACAUCAAAGCACGAGGUUAAAGACUCGCAACGUGUUGUUUAGAUAUGGAUGUCACCUAAAACUACAGCUCUUUUUUAGUGACCCACUUCAAAGGAAAUAAUUUAUUCCUAAAAUAAGACUUGAUCAUUGGUUGGACUUUUUUGCAUCAUGAAGUAUUCAUGAGUUUCUAUAAUUUUUUGGCUAAAACUAUGAAACAUUGAAUGUAUCUGAAUGUAUCAUUAGCUUUAGAUAGCAUGAAUUUGCUAAAACUCUCAACUCAUUUCACCUGCUCCUCUUACAGCUAAUAUUUUUGGCAUGUUUGGCCUGAUUGAGUUAAAGCAAAAGACAAAUUGACCCAUGAUAAGUGAACAGAGAUCUUUUGUUUUAGCCAUGAAGUUAUAGAAAUGGUUGUACUUCUUUUCCUCAAAUGCUAUUUUUAGUGUUACCUUGCAUAUUGCCCAUCCGUUUUUAUUUCAUAUCUUCUAAAGU
rnacentral:lncRNA from 1 species